rnacentral:lncRNA from 10 species
AUAGUCCCUGGCCAAAUGCAAGGAAACUGUUCCUCAGUGCCUUUUCUCCCCCUCCCCAUCCAGUUCGUGGAUCCCCGUAAGAGCCCUAACUUGGGACUGAGCACGGAGUACGAGUCUGACACAAGCUCAGACUAACUGACUUGGGAAAUGCUAGCUAUACUUAAAGAAUAACCCUGUCAGGUCGGUGCGGUGGCUCACGCCUGUAAUCCCAGCACUUUGGGAGAAAUUAAGGUCGGAAGAGUGGCAGGGGAGGACUGAGGAUCAGUAUUGUAGCUGGGGAGGGGGAUGGCUAGGGAUGAAUCUUGCCCACCGAUGAUACCCUGACAUUCUUGCCUGGACAGGGUUAUUUGGAGGGAAAAGGGAGGUGCAAGGAUGCAAGGCAGAGAAUGCUUACCCCAUGAUUCUACGCUCCGAGUAAGCCUUUCGCUUGUUGGUGAAGGGAGCAGCAAAUCCCAUGAAGGAACGGCUCGAAGGUAAGCCAGCCUCAGCCGCCAAGAUCUGGGCAGCCCGAGGCAAGAGGAGGCUGCAGGAGGUCAGAAACC